CGCAUCUGUGCAUGCAGCAUAUCAAUAAGCGGAGGAAAAGAAACUAACAAGGAUUCCCCUAGUAACGGCGAGUGAAGCGGGAAGAGCUCAAAUUUGAAAUCUUAAAGGGUUUCCCUUUACGAAUUGUAGUUUAAAGAAGUGUUUUCUGUUGAGGUUUUGGUAAAAGUUCUUUGGAAUAGGACAUCAUAGAGGGUGAGAAUCCCGUAUUUGACCUUUACUUUCAACUUUGUGAUACACUUUCAAAGAGUCGGACUGUUUGGGAAUGCAGUCCAAAAUGGGUGGUAAAUUUCAUCUAAAGCUAAAUAUUGGCGAGAGACCGAUAGCGAACAAGUACCGUGAGGGAAAGAUGAAAAGAACUUUGAAAAGAGAGUUAAACAGUACGUGAAAUUGUCAAAAGGGAAGCGUUUGACACCAGUGUUGUUUUUCUGAAAAUCAAUUAAAGAACUGUUUAUGCUAAGCUGUUUAGACUUUAUCAGCUAUCUGUUUAGUUUUGAGCUUUUCUUUAAUGCACUUUUCAGUUAACAAGUCAACAUCAAUUUCUUUUGCUGUAAAAAAGCUUGAGGAAGGUGGCUUGAGAUUCGUCUUAAGUGUUUAUAGCCUCUUGCCUAUGCAGUCGGAGAGAUUGAGGUCUGCAGCGUAGAUCCUUCGGGGCUAAAUGCAUUUGUGCUAAGUUAUAGCAUUUUAUAGACAACUUGUUGACUAUGAUUUGUCUUGUAGCUUACUCGCUUAUGUUAUUUUACCUACGCUUAGGAUGUUGAGUCAUCACACAUCUCU
rnacentral:rRNA from 1 species